AUUGAACGCUGGCGGCAUGCCUUACACAUGCAAGUCGAACGGUAACAGGUCUUCGGAUGCUGACGAGUGGCGAACGGGUGAGUAAUACAUCGGAACGUGCCUAGUAGUGGGGGAUAACUACUCGAAAGAGUGGCUAAUACCGCAUGAGAUCUACGGAUGAAAGCAGGGGAUCGCAAGACCUUGUGCUACUAGAGCGGCCGAUGGCAGAUUAGGUAGUUGGUGGGAUAAAAGCUUACGAAGCCGACGAUCUGUAGCUGGUCUGAGAGGACGAUCAGCCACACUGGGACUAAGACACGGCCCAGACUCCGACGGGAGGCAGCAGUGGGGAAUUUUGGACAAUGGGCGAAAGCCUGAUCCAGCAAUGCCGCGUGCAGGAUGAAGGCCUUCGGGUUGUAAACUGCUUUUGUACGGAACGAAAAGCUCUGGGUUAAUACCCUGGGGUCAUGACGGUACCGUAAGAAUAAGCACCGGCUAACUACGUGCCAGCAGCCGCGGUAAUAC
rnacentral:rRNA from 1 species